rnacentral:lncRNA from 1 species
CGGGCUCCGAUCACGGUGUGGUUGGUGUCUAUGGCUUCGUCUCGACAAGAGGAACACAAUGGUGGUCUUUCAUGCAGCUGAAGCUAAACGGAAGUUAUGAAGCUAAUGGUUAGGAAGUUAUGGGCGAUUUACUAAACAGACCCGAAACUGAAGCUAAUGCAUGUGGUUUCCGGUGUUACCUUGGGCGGUUAACGGUGGUGGCGUGCUCGACACAGUCACGGCGUGAGAAGGCUCCGAC